CCAUUUGCAAAUAAAAUGAAUGAAAAUUUAAUGAAAUAAUGCCACAAGGGUCCCACAAUUAUUUGUAAAAUUUUUGUUUGCAAGUAAGUCCCACAAUUUAAUUAGAAAGUUGAUUUUUAAUUGAAAAAUAGUUCCAUGUCAGCAGAAAUAGCCAUUAAUGGCGUUAGGGUGUUUGGACCUUCUUUGCUAAAGGACUUAAUCCCAUAAUAUUGGUUUGUCAAAAUCCAAACCACAGGAAACUAC
rnacentral:misc_RNA from 1 species